CAUUCCCUACGGGGCGCAGCAGUAGGGAAUCUUCCACAAUGGACGAAAGUCUGAUGGAGCAACGCCGCGUGAGUGAAGAAGGGUUUCGGCUCGUAAAGCUCUGUUGGUAGUGAAGAAAGAUAGAGGUAGUAACUGGCCUUUAUUUUACGGUAAUUACUUAGAAAGUCACGGCUAACUACGUGCCAGCAGCCGCGGUAAUACGUAGGUGGCAAGCGUUGUCCGGAUUUAUUGGGCGUAAAACG
rnacentral:rRNA from 1 species